rnacentral:rRNA from 1 species
CCUACGGGAGGCAGCAGUGGGGAAUAUUGCACAAUGGGCGAAAGCCUGAUGCAGCAACGCCGCGUGAAGGAAGAAGGGUUUCGGCUCGUAAACUUCUAUCAAUGGGGAAGAAACAAAUGACGGUACCCAAAUAAGAAGCCCCGGCUAACUACGUGCCAGCAGCCGCGGUAAUACGUAGGGGGCAAGCGUUAUCCGGAAUUACUGGGUGUAAAGGGAGCGUAGGCGGUAUGAUAAGCCAGAUGUGAAAGCCCGAAGCUUAACUUCGUGGAUUGCAUUUGGAACUAUCAAACUAGAGUACAGGAGAGGUAAGUGGAAUUCCUAGUGUAGCGGUGAAAUGCGUAGAUAUUAGGAAGAACACCAGUGGCGAAGGCGACUUACUGGACUGAAACUGACGCUGAGGCUCGAAAGCGUGGGGAGCGAACAGGAUUAGAUACCCCAG